GGGUGCUUAGCUCAGCUGGUUUAGAGCGCUACCCCGACACGGUAGAGGUCACUGGUUCGAAUCCAGUAGCACCCA
rnacentral:tRNA from 1 species